rnacentral:rRNA from 1 species
UACGUAGGGGGCAAGCGUUAUCCGGAUUUACUGGGUGUAAAGGGAGCGUAGGCGGCAAGGCAAGUCUGAUGUGAAAACCCGGGGCUCAACCCCGGGACUGCAUUGGAAACUGCUUAGCUAGAGUGUCGGAGAGGUAAGUGGAAUUCCUAGUGUAGCGGUGAAAUGCGUAGAUAUUAGGAGGAAAACCAGUGGCGAAGGCGACUUACUGGACGAUAACUGACGCUGAGGCUCGAAAGCGUGGGGAGCAAACAGGAUUAGAUACCCUGGUAGUCCACGCUGUAAACGAUGAAUACUAGGUGUCGGGUGGCAAAGCCAUUCGGUGCCGCAGCUAACGCAAUAAGUAUUCCACCUGGGGAGUACGUUCGCAAGAAUGAA